rfam:Myotis davidii contig149181, whole genome shotgun sequence.
AGCAGUACUUGGAUGAUGCACCCCAGAAUUGAGCUCCCUCCUCUCUAGUUCCAGGUGCAUCACUCAAGAACCACA